UACAGAGGGUGCAAGCGUUGUUCGGAAUUAUUGGGCGUAAAGCGCGUGUAGGCGGUUUCUUAAGUCUGAUGUGAAAGCCCUGGGCUCAACCCAGGAAGUGCAUUGGAUACUGGGAAACUUGAAUACGGGAGAGGGUAGUGGAAUUCCUAGUGUAGGAGUGAAAUCCGUAGAUAUUAGGAGGAACGCCGGUGGCGAAGGCGGCUACCUGGACCGAUAUUGACGCUGAGACGCGAAAGCGUGGGGAGCAAACAGG
rnacentral:rRNA from 1 species